CUGGGAUAGGUGUGUGUGUGUGUUUAUCAUGACUGGGAUAGGUGUGUGUGUGUGUUUAUCAUGACUGGGAUAGGUGUGUGUGUGUGUUUACCAUGACUGGGAUAGGUGUGUGUGUGUUUACCAUGACUGGGAUAGGUGUGUGUGUUUAUCA